AUGGGACUGGUUAAGGCUCCGGUGCCCACUGUCUACGGCUCGAAUUAUGUGCCUGAGCUGACUUACACAACUCCUCCCCGUCAACUGCUUAUUGACCAUGGACGCCCCUUGACCACCAUGGAUGAUGGUCCUCCUCCACACGACGAGACGUCAUCACAGCCUCAAGCCCAGACUCCCAGGAAUUGUCCAUCCUUCCUCUGCCCCCAGGAACAUAUCGGCUCAUUAAAGCAGACUUCCUGUAUCUUCAGUACAGCAGAGACAGUAUGGGUGACUAGGGACUGUGACUUUUUUUAAAGCACCUACAGGGAACCCAUAAAGACUAUACAUGGGGGCUAGGAGGGAUAUUAUGGAAGAGGUGGGACUUGAGAGGUGACGGACAUCAUAUUCAUGACUUCAGCAAAUAAUACCAUAUCUUAUCCAAGGUUACUUAGUAGUUGACUUUAUUUUAGAAUGUGCUGUGACUCAUAACACUCAAAAGAACGUAGAAAGUGAAGCCACACUAGGAAAAGAGCAAGAUCCUUCUGGAGUCCCAUACGUCUUGUUUUAGAAAUGGAUACCUGACAGCGAUUCACACAUUCAUUGCAACAAAUGGAGAUGGAUAUACAUCGACUUUGUCGACUCUGAACACUUGGAUUCUACUUUUCUGUGCAUCCAGUUGCAGGGUUGUACGUUCUGAUUACCUCCCUGUAGGUGUCAGGGUUACCGCUAUGAAAUACUGAUUAUCAAAAGGCUAUUGGCUAAAUACAGUCACUGUGUUGGUUAAAUUCAUUCACAAUGUUCAUUCACAAAAGCAUUCUAUCACAAUUACUUCAUACAAAAUAUUGCACAGAGUCACAUUACUGCAAUGUGUUUUAAAUGAUAUUUCCAGGGAGGGGGG
rnacentral:lncRNA from 13 species